rnacentral:rRNA from 1 species
UACGUAGGUGGCAAGCGUUGUCCGGAAUUACUGGGCGUAAAGCGUGCGCAGGCGGUUUUGUAAGUCUGUCGUGAAAGCCCCGGGCUCAACCUGGGAAUUGCGAUGGAGACUGCAAGGCUAGAAUCUGGCAGAGGGGGGUAGAAUUCCACGUGUAGCAGUGAAAUGCGUAGAGAUGUGGAGGAACACCGAUGGCGAAGGCAGCCCCCUGGGUCAAGAUUGACGCUCAUGCACGAAAGCGUGGGGAGCAAACAGG